UACGUAGGGGGCAAGCGUUGUCCGGAAUCAUUGGGCGUAAAGAGCGUGUAGGCGGCCAGCUAAGUCCGCUGUGAAAUCUCGAGGCUCCACUUCGAGCUGUCGGUGGAAACUGUCUGGCUAGAGUCCGGAAGAGGAGAAUGGGAAUUCCUGGUGUAGCGGUGAAAUGCGCAGAUAUCAGGAGGAACACCGAUGGCGAAGGCAGAUCUCUGGGCCGUAACUGACGCUGAGGAGCGAAAGCGUGGGGAGCGAACAGG
rnacentral:rRNA from 1 species